rnacentral:rRNA from 1 species
AGAACGAACGCUGGCGGCAUGCCUAAUACAUGCAAGUCGAACGAAGGCUUCGGCCUUAGUGGCGCACGGGUGCGUAACGCGUGGGAAUCUGCCCCUUGGUUCGGAAUAACAGUUGGAAACGACUGCUAAUACCGGAUGAUGACGAAAGUCCAAAGAUUUAUCGCCAAGGGAUGAGCCCGCGUAGGAUUAGCUAGUUGGUGAGGUAAAGGCUCACCAAGGCGACGAUCCUUAGCUGGUCUGAGAGGAUGAUCAGCCACACUGGGACUGAGACACGGCCCAGACUCCUACGGGAGCAGCAGUAGGGAUAUUGGACAAGUGGGCGAAAGCCUAGAUCCAGCAAUG